CAAGCCUGAUCCAGCCAUGCCGCGUGGGUGAAGAAGGCCUUCGGGUUGUAAAGCUCUUUCGGACGGAAAGAAAUCGCCGCCUCUAACAUAGGCGGUGGAUGACGGUACCGUAAGAAGAAGCACCGGCUAACUACGUGCCAGCAGCCGCGGUAAUACGUAGGGUGCGAGCGUUAAUCGGAAUUACUGGGCGUAAAGCGCACGUAGGCGGACUUUUAAGUCAGGGGUGAAAUCCCGGGGCUCAACCUCGGAACUGCCUUUGAUACUGGAAGUCUGGAGUCCGAGAGAGGUGAGUGGAACUCCGAGUGUAGAGGUGAAAUUCGUAGAUAUUCGGAAGAACACCAGUGGCGAAGGCGGCUCACUGGCUCGGUACUGACGCUGAGGUGCGAAAGCGUGGGGAGCAAACA
rnacentral:rRNA from 1 species